rnacentral:rRNA from 1 species
GUUUACCUGUGUGACUGCGUACCUUUUGUAUAAUGGGUCAGCGACUUAUAUUCUGUAGCAAGGUUAACCGUAUAGGGGAGCCGUAGGGAAACCGAGUCUUAACCGGGCGUUAAGUUGCAGGGUAUAGACCCGAAACCCGGUGAUCUAGCCAUGGGCAGGUUGAAGGUUGGGUAACACUAACUGGAGGACCGAACCGACUAAUGUUGAAAAAUUAGCGGAUGACCUGUGGCUGGGGGUGAAAGGCCAAUCAAACCGGGAGAUAGCUGGUUCUCCCCGAAAGCUAUUUAGGUAGCGCCUCGUGAAUUCAUCUCCGGGGGUAGAGCACUGUUUCGGCUAGGGGGCCAUCCCGGCUUACCAACCCGAUGCAAACUGCGAAUACCGGAGAAUGUUAUCACGGGAGACACACGGCGGGUGCUAACGUCCGUCGUGAAGAGGGAAACAACCCAGACCGCCAGCUAAGGUCCCAAAGUCAUGGUUAAGUGGGAAACGAUGUGGGAAGGCCCAGACAGCCAGGAUGUUGGCUUAGAAGCAGCCAUCAUUUAAAGAAAGCGUAAUAGCUCACUGGUCGAGUCGGCCUGCGCGGAAGAUGUAACGGGGCUAAACCAU